ACACACACACACACACAAAAAAAAAAAAAAAAAAAAAAAAAAAAAAAA
rnacentral:ribozyme from 12 species